rnacentral:tRNA from 2 species
GCCCUUAUAGCUCAGUAGGAUAGAGCAAAAGUUUCCUAAACUUUAGGUCGCAGGUUCGAAUCCUGUUAAGGGCA